CGGCGGGGGAUAACGGUUCGAAAGGACUGCUAAUACCGCAUUCGUCGGCGGAGUCUUUGGGCUCUGCCGGGAAAGAUGGCCUCUCAGCGAAGCUAUCACCGAUAGAUCAGCCCGCGUCCCAUCAGCUAGUUGGUGAGGUAAUGGCUCACCAAGGCUUAGACGGGUAGCUGGUCUGAGAGGAUGAUCAGCCACACUGGGACUGAGACACGGCCCAG
rnacentral:rRNA from 1 species